GAUGAACGCUGGCGGCGUGCUUAACACAUGCAAGUCGAACGGAAAGGCCUCAGCUUGCUGGGGUACUCGAGUGGCGAACGGGUGAGUAACACGUGGGUGAUCUGCCCUGCACUUUGGGAUAAGCCCGGGAAACUGGGUCUAAUACCGAAUAUGACCACUUCUUGGAUGUUGUGGUGGAAAGCUUUUGCGGUGUGGGAUGAGCCUGCGGCCUAUCAGCUUGUUGGUGGGGUAAUGGCCUACCAAGGCGGCGACGGGUAUCCGGCCUGAGAGGGUGUACGGACACAUUGGGACGGAGAUUCGGCCCAGACGCCUACGGGAGGCAGCAGUGGGGAAUAUUGCACAAUGGGCGCAAGCCUGAUGCAGCGACGCCGCGUGGGGGAUGAAGGCCUUCGGGUUGUAAACUCCUUUCGCUAUCGACGAAGCCACUUGUGGUGACGGUAGGUAGAUAAGAAGCACCGGCUAACUACGUGCCAGCAGCCGCCGUAA
rnacentral:rRNA from 1 species